GACGAACGCUGGCGGCGUGCCUAAUACAUGCAAGUUGAGCGCUGAAGGUUGGUACUUGUACCAACUGGAUGAGCAGCGAACGGGUGAGUAACGCGUGGGGAAUCUGCCUUUGAGCGGGGGACAACAUUUGGAAACGAAUGCUAAUACCGCAUAAAAACUUUAAACACAAGUUUUAAGUUUGAAAGAUGCAAAUGCAUCACUCAAAGAUGAUCCCGCGUUGUAUUAGCUAGUUGGUGAGGUAAAGGCUCACCAAGGCGAUGAUACAUAGCCGACCUGAGAGGGUGAUCGGCCACAUUGGGACUGAGACACGGCCCAAACUCCUACGGGAGGCAGCAGUAGGGAAUCUUCGGCAAUGGACGAAAGGCUGACCGAGCAACGCCGCGUGAGGGAAGAAGGGUUUCGGAUCGUAAAACUCUGUUGGUAGAGAAGAACGUUGGUGAGAGUGGAAAGCUCAUCAAGUGACGGUAACUACCCAGAAAGGGACGGCUAACUACGUG
rnacentral:rRNA from 1 species